AUCCUUUGGUUCACGUGAGAGCAUGAUGAUCGAGUGUUUGUGACAUAUGUGUGAAAUAUGCCACCCCCCAGACAUUGCGGUGUCAGCACAUUACCUGUCUGACA
ensembl:snoRNA